CCGCCUGCGCCUGCUGGGGCGAGAUGUAGUGGACGUGCGCGUCGAUGCCGCCCGCGGUCAGGAUCAGGUGCUCGCCCGAGAUGGCGUCGGUGCCCGGCCCGAGCGCGAGGCCCGGCGUGACGCCCGACAUGGUCGACGGGUUGCCGGCCUUGCCGAUGCCGCAGACGAGGCCGUUCUUGAUGCCGACAUCGGCCUUGAUGACGCCCUGGACCGCGUCGAGGAUGGUGACGUUCGUGAUCACCAGAUCCGGCGCGCCGGCAGCGCUGGUGAGCUCGUUGUCAUAGCCCAUGCCGUCG
rnacentral:sRNA from 1 species